rnacentral:rRNA from 1 species
AACGGCUACCACAUCCAAGGAAGGCAGCAGGCGCGCAAAUUACCCAAUCCCGAUACGGGGAGGUAGUGACAAUAAAUAACAAUACAGGGCUUUCUAGUCUUGUAAUUGGAAUGAGUACAAUUUAAAUCUCUUAACGAGGAACAAUUGGAGGGCAAGUCUGGUGCCAGCAGCCGCGGUAAUUCCAGCUCCAAUAGCGUAUAUUAAAGUUGUUGCAGUUAAAAAGCUCGUAGUUGAAUUUUAGGCCUGGUUGGACGGUCUGCCUUUGGUUUGUACUGUCCUGACUGGGUCUUACCUUCUGGUGAGCUGUCGUGUUGUUUACUCAGCGCGGCAGGGAACCAGGACUUUUACUUUGAAAAAAUUAAAGUGUUUAAAGCAGGCAUUCGCUUGAAUACAUUAGCAUGGAAUAAUAGAAUAGGACUUUGGUUCUAUUUUGUUGGUUUCUAGGACCGAAGUAAUGAUUAAUAGGGAUAGUUGGGGGCAUUAGUAUUUAAUUGUCAGAGGUGAAAUUCUUGGAUUUAUGAAAGACUAACUUCUGCGAAAGCAUUUGCCAAGGAUGUUUUCAUUAAUCAAGAACGAAAGUUAGGGGAUCGAAGACGAUCAGAUACCGUCGUAGUCUUAACCAUAAACUAUGCCGACUAGGGAUCAGACAAGGAUUUAUUGACUUGUUUGGCACCUUAUGAGAAAUCAAAGUUUUUGGGUUCCGGGGGAGUAUGGUCGCAAGGCUGAAA